rnacentral:rRNA from 1 species
CUAAGGUAGCAUAAUCAUUUGUUAUUUAAUUGGUAACUGGAAUGAAAGGUUAAACUAGCUUAUUAAGUUUGUGAGAUUAAAUAGUAUCUUAAAGUUAAGGUAAGAAUUCUUUAAUUUACUAGGGGACGAUAAGACCCUAGAAGCUUAACAAGCAGAAAUUUUUGUUUUACAAGAUUGUUUGUUUUACUGGGGCGGUAAAAAUAAUUAAGCUAUUUAGUAGUUAUAAGAUCCUUUAAAUAAAGAUAAAAUGGGGAAGUUACUCUAGGGAUAA